rnacentral:rRNA from 1 species
AGCAGUCGCCGCGGUAAGACGGAGGGUGCUAGCGUUGUUCGGAAUCACUGGGCGUAAAGGGCGCGUAGGCGGCCUGUUAAGUCGGAUGUGAAAGCCCGGGGCUCAACCCCGGAACUGCAUCCGAGACUGGCAGGCUUGAGACCGGGAGAGGAGGGUGGAAUAUCCAGUGUAGAGGUGAAAUUCGAGAUAUUGGAUGGAACACCGGUGGCGAAAGCGGCUCUCUGGCCCGGAUCUGACGCUGAGGCGCGAAAGCGUGGGGAGCAAACAGGAUUAGAUACCCCCGUAGUCCCUGUCUCUUAUACA